GGUCAGGAAACUUCUUCAACAGUUUGGCGACCCAUAUGGGACCCUAGGUCACCACCAUCGGACCUUGCUGUCUCCAAACAUCCAACUGCCAGCAGCGGGUGAGUUCACCGGGGAACUUUGGAGCAGGAGGAAGCUGAAGGUUUUAGGAAAGGAAAAUUGGAUACACCAUUAUUAUGUCAAACAAGCGGUGAAUAACCAACCAACUGACAAAUGAAUGAUUCCUGAGGAACUCUUGUACUGAAGAAAAAAAGAAAAAAAGAAAAGAAAUGAAGUGGGGCAUCUCGCUACUCUUGGUACUGUUGACCCUGAUGACCGCUACAGCAUGGCUAAGUAUAUCAAUAACAGAAGAUCCAAAAAUGUGGAAAGUUAACAAAACUAAGGGGAAGAUAAUUUUCCUAGAUUACCUAGGACCCAAUAAGAAGAAUCUUACCUUUUGCUGUGAAUCAGAUAAAAAUGAUAACCUGACUGUAAAACCCGUGGCCAGCAGUUGUGAUUAUUGUUUAGACACUGACAGAACUUAUAGCCCAAGGAAAGAUCACCUGACUACGUGUCUGGGAGGUGAAGCCUGCUGCUUAUCAGUGCAAAUUGAAAGUAGAACACAAAUUAACGUGACUUGUGAAAUUAUCAUCCCAGGAUCAACAACUGUCCCUCCAACCACCAAGAUAAGUACUGUAGUCCCAACUUCAACUCCACUAGUCAGAGAGGAGUUGAUUCCACAAACUUCUGAAACUGGACUCAGGAGGAAGCUCCCCGGCUUUGGUGCGGCGGUUCAGGUUCGCACAGCGGGGAGCAGGAGCCGGAGCUACCCAGCAGCUUUGGACGCCUCCUGCCAGGAGCGAUCAUGCAGUUCUGCGGCAGCCGAGAUGCUGGUGCGCCUCUCUGGGAACGGCUGA
rnacentral:lncRNA from 1 species